UUUGAAGUGAAUUUCCCUUUCUUUUCUUUUUUUUUCCUUUCCUCUCCUUUCCUUUUCUUCUAUUUUCCUUUUCUUUUCUUCCCACGUUUUCUGUCCAAUUUCCUUUCUUUUCAUCUUUUUCUUCUAUCUUCCUUUUCCUCUUUCUUUCUCCUUCCACGUCUCAUUUCUUCUUCUCCCUUCAAUUUUCUUCUUCUCCCAUAACCUUGAAUAAGCCAUCAGCCGUCAAGCACAGUAACCUAAAGAUCCAAGUCAGCGCCAGGGACAGCUUAGAGGUAUCAUUAUUGAUUUUUAUUUGUCGGGUUGUUAUCGAUUUUGUUGGAACAUAUUGUGAAAUGCAAAUUAGGUUAUUCGAUUGUUAUAAAUUCGUUUAUUGGGUUUCUAUCAAUUCAUUUAUUGGUUUACAGUGGAAUAUAUGAGAUCUACAAUAAAGUGAGGGUUUAAACUCCAUUGAAAAUGUUAUGGAUUCAAAAUUAUCAAAAUGUUUUGAGUCAAUUCAUUUAGUGGGUUGUAGUGGAAUAUUUGAGAUCUACAGUAAAGUGAAGGUUCAAACUCGAUUGAAAAUGUUAUGGGUUCCAAAUUAUCAUAAUAUUUUGUGUCCCGAACUUCUGAUUAAUAUUGUGCUUCAACCAAUUUAUGAGAUGCAAUUGUUGUUCUGUAACUUCAUUUUGUCUUUGUUCUGUGUAUCCCUUUUGGCUCUGGUUUCCAUUGAACCUUAUUCUGCCACAUUAUCUUUAUGGCACGUACUAUAAAAUGCUUAUUCAACUGUUUUAACUUACUACUUUAUUGAUCAAAACUCUGCAAUAAAGAAACUGUCUCAAUUCUCAUUCAGCCCGAAUCCCGCUGUUAGUUUUUACUUAUAAAAAUAAUAUAACCAAAACUCUUCAUAAAGCAAUGUUUAGUCAGGGAAAUUAUAUGCAAAAAUUGACUUACUAGUACUGUUCUUGCCGCAGCACUUCACUUAGUUAAGGAUAGUUAAUUGAGUUUGAAAAGUGAAAAUUCAAUUAUCAAUUUUGUCUUGUUAAAUAAAGGGCAUGAUGAGUCUUUCUGUAAUUCCAUUGAUUUGACAUUAUUUGAAUACCAAAAGCUAAAGAAUUGCUUUAUAGUUGCAACUUAACUUCUACAUAUAUGCCCUCUCCUUUACAGUUAGGCCAGUGCCCAUGAGAACUCUGUACCUUGUGGUCCCAGAUAAUUGGAAGCCAGAGUCAACCAAUUACUGUUGGUUUUUCCAAAAGUGCUUAUUUCUUGUUACGUGAACGAGUAAUAACAAAAUUAUUAAGGAAAACUAUAUUGCAAAUACACGUAUAAUUGGGCUUGCUUGAGUUAAUAAGGAUCACGCGGUCGAUAGAACUUCGAGAAGUCAAGCUAGAGUUGAAGAACUAUGGGAAUCAGUUUAGUCUUGAGGCAUCACUCACGUCGAUAGAACUACGAGAAGUGAAGCUUGAGUCUUAUUUUACUAAAGUGUUAGAUCCAUGUACAAAUUCAUAUUUGGCUUUUCAUUUAAUCUAGUUAGAUUGACCAUCUAGUUAUUCCAUUAAGGCAUUGAUGCAAAAUUUUCAGCAAUUUUGGUUUGUUUUUGUACUAUAUAUUUAUUGUUCAUUUUAUUUUUUAUUUUUUUUUAUUUUUUUUGCACUCUGUCUUCCCCCCAUAUUUUAAUUCCGAAUGAAGUUCUUCGAUUGGAAAUCUCUGUAGAAAAGAAUAGGGAUUUUACGAAAUGAACUAUUAUAGUUUCAAAUCCUCAUCGAAAUUGAAAAUAUAUUGCAAAGUUAGAAAAAAAAUAAGAUUUUUAAAUUGGGUGAAAGGAUUUUAUUUAUUUUUUAUCUGUCCCCUCUCCCUUCUCCCUCCUCCAUUAUUUUUUGGGUCUUAUUAUCAGUCUACUUCCAUUUUUAAUCUUUAUAGGGAAAACACCAGAUUGGGAAGACUUUGUUGGGAUUAUUACUCUUCUGGUCAUUAACUCAACCAUCAGUUUCAUAGAGGAGAGAAAUGCUUUUAAUGACUUUCCUUGUCUGCUAUUUGUUAUUGUUGAGCAGGGAGAAUUAAUUUUAGUUAAUUAUGAUUUGAAUUCAAAGAGUUGCUGGAGUUUGUGAUUUAAGUUAAUAUUGAUUUAGUGUUUCUCUUGUCCUUUUUGUUGGUUAGUUAUAUAUUUGGUUCCUGAUUCAUAAUUUUGUGAUCUCUGAAUACAUUCUGUUUUUUAACUUUAUUUGCUAGAGGGACAAGGAAGACAAUAAAUUCUCAGCUAUGGCAUGCUUGUGCUGGUCCAUUGGUUUCCUUGCCUCAGGUUGGUAGUCUCGUACACUAUUUGAUAAGGAGCACCAAUUUGGUGAAGAUCAGCUGCAUAUCUAAUUCACGAGAAUGUAGAGAUGUAUUUUUUAGGUGCAUAAUAAUAGAUAUAGAGCAUUUGCUAUACUAUUUUUAAGUUUAGAUGUAAUUAUAUUUGGUGAAUGAUUUUUAUUUGUGUUUUGAUGAAAUAUUUUGGAUUCAAUGUUAUAUUGACAAUUCUUAAUUAAUUUAUUGUUUUUUUGUAUCUUUAUAUUAUUUUGAAUAAAGUAGUAUAGUUUAAUUUUUCCAUA
rnacentral:lncRNA from 1 species